GUCGUCUAUUGGCUUGUAUCUCAUCACGACCUGGACAGUGGCUGUGCUGAUGGGAUGGGAAAACAUUGGACAACGAGCUGGAGGUUGUUGAGGGAAUGAAGCUAGACAGGGGCUACAUAUCCCCUUAUUUCAUCACCAACCAGAACAAUCAGAAAUGUGAAUUGGAAAAUCCUCUAAUCAUAAUCCAUGAGAAGAAAAUCUCAAGUAUUAAUGAUGUGGUUAAAGUAUUGGAGUUGGUUUUGCAUGUUAGCAUUUUUCUGGUUAUGUUCACUAGUUUCUUCGUUUUUACUAUGAAUUGGUUGACAAACUUUUGCUCCUUUUCAGAAGCAAAGAUAUUUGCAUUUUGUUAUAUAUUUCAGAACCGAAGUUAUAAAAGAAAAUGGUUUUCCUCUUUGCUAAUUGAGAAUCAUGUGCAGUUAUGAUUUCAGAUAUGUAGAUAACCUGUUGUUGCUGAUAUUGCUACACGGGAGGAGAACAGAACAACUUGGAAAAUGUGCAAGAAGGGAGAGCUAACUCAUACAACGAAGAACAAAUUGAUGAAGUUAAGAUCAAAUUAGUAGAAUUUGUGAGCUCUCCAUUAUUUAUAAUUAUAGGUGGGAAGUAUGUAUGUAAUAGAGCAAAGAUUGGUUGACUAUGUAAUAACAAUUGAAUUGUCAAGUUUUAUGAAAGAAAUAAUUUUUGCUUCUUGGGA